GACGAACGCUGGCGGCGUGCUUAACACAUGCAAGUCGAGCGGUAAGGCCCCUCCGGGGGUACACGAGCGGCGAACGGGUGAGUAACACGUGAGCAACCUGCCCCCGACUCCGGGAUAAGCGGUGGAAACGCCGUCUAAUACCGGAUACGACCAACCGGCUCAUGCCGGGUGGUGGAAAGUUUUUUCGGUUGGGGAUGGGCUCGCGGCCUAUCAGCUUGUUGGUGGGGUAAAGGCCUACCAAGGCGAUUACGGGUAGCCGGCCUGAGAGGGCGAACGGGCACACUGGGACUGAGACACGGCCCAGACUCCUGCGGGAGGCAGCAGUGGGGAAUCUUGCGCAAUGGGCGAAAGCCUGACGCAGCGACGCCGCGUGGGGGAUGACGGCCUUCGGGUUGUAAACUCCUUUUACCACUCACGCAGGCCCGGGGUUCUCUCCGGGUUGACGGUAGGUGGGGAAUAAGGACCGGCUAACUACGUGCCAGCCGCCGCCGUAACAC
rnacentral:rRNA from 1 species